GCCCGAGUGGUGGAAUGGUAGACGCAGGGGAUUCAAAAUCCUCCGCCGAGAGGCGUGCGAGUUCGAGUCUCGCCUCGGGCA
rnacentral:tRNA from 2 species